UACGAAGGGGGCUAGCGUUGCUCGGAAUCACUGGGCGUAAAGCGCACGUAGGCGGAUCUUUAAGUCAGGGGUGAAAUCCUGGAGCUCAACUCCAGAACUGCCUUUGAUACUGAGGACCUUGAGUUCGGGAGAGGUGAGUGGAACUGCGAGUGUAGAGGUGAAAUUCGUAGAUAUUCGCAAGAACACCAGUGGCGAAGGCGGCUCACUGGCCCGAUACUGACGCUGAGGUGCGAAAGCGUGGGGAGCAAACAGG
rnacentral:rRNA from 1 species